AGAGAAACUCCCAUCAGAUCAACUUCAACACCAACAUGUUCUCUGUAGCUCUGCUGCUGCUGGCUGCUGGAUCCUGUGUGAAGUGUGAACAGCUGACACAGCCAGCCUCUGAGACUGUGCAGCCAGGUCAACGUCUGACCAUCAGAUGUCAGGUCUCUUAUGAUCUAGGCAGCUACUACACAGCUUGGAUCAGACAGGCUGCUGGGAAAGGACUGGAGUGGAUUGGGAUGAAAUAUACUGGAAACUCAUACUACAAAGACUCCCUGAAGAACAAGUUCAGUAUUGACUUAGACACUUCCAGCAAAACAGUGACUCUGAAUGGACAGAAUAUGCAGCCUGAAGACUCUGCUGUUUAUUAUUGUGCCAGACUAGACCACAGUGACACAAACAAGCAGCAGAGCUGUACAAAAACCCCUCAGAACAGAUGUAAUAUAAAAUCACCAGAGGAGGCGCUCUUGAACCACAGCAGAAGAAGAGAAACUCCCACCAUCACCUUCAACACCAACAUGAUAUCUGUAGCUCUGCUGCUGCUGCUGGAUCCUAUAUAA